UUAUGAAGACUGUUAGGAGAAUUCCUUAGGAGGAUAUAGAAUUAUUCUUGUAUUUUAGAUGACAUUGCUUCAUUUGAAUGCCUAGAUUCCUCCUUCGUUUGGAUUAAAUUGCCUCUAUCUUGUAAGGAAGAGAAAGAUCUUUCAAAUUGCUCCUUGUUCUUCUCUGUUUAGUUUAUAAAUAGUGGGCAACUGGGCAUGCACAUUUACAAAAUUUAUUUUAGAUUGCAGGUGAUUCUGAGAAGUUGAUAAAUGUGUUAUUUGAGCUUGCAAGACGCCAUGCCCCCUCAACCAUAUUUCUUGAUGAAAUUGAUGCAAUCAUUACUCAUUAGUCAACGCGGUGAAGCACGCAGCGAACAUGAAGCAAGUAGACGGCUAAGAACUGAACUGCUCAUACAGGUGAUGCUUUAUUCUUAAACUCAAUAUAAUUUCAUAAUCACUAGCUUAAUGAUAAUAACAUAAUUAGUAUUGAAAACACUUUAUAUGUUAGCUGUCCUUGGAUAAAAUCAACUAUGAUAGAAUUCAAAGUUCUCGCAUAUAUUGGACUUGUGCCUGCUGUUUUUGCAAUGGCUACAAGCUUGAGGAUGUACACAGCUUGUCAGCAUCUUCAAGCUCAGAGAAUAUAUAUAUAUAUAUAUAUAUAUACAUAUAUAGUAUAAAAUAAGAUAAGAAGCUAAGCUAUAGCUAGUAUUAGUUUAGAUUUUUACAAUCUUCCAAACAUUUUUUUUAUGACAAGCUAAGUGAUGAGGACUGUGGUUAAUGCCCCACUUUCUCAUGUAGUUUUGAAGUUUUAUAUCAAAUCUAUCUAAUAGAACUACCAACUUUGUAAGUGGAAGGAAAAAAAUAAAAAGAAAAUGGCUUGGUUUGUGGCUGAGAGCACAUAAUAAAAAAAAAUUCAAUAUUGUCAGCUUUCAAUUUAGAAUCAUUUCCUUGUCUGCCGCAGGGAUUUUCUUCAAGAAGAAGCAUUAAUUCAUUCAUUCGCAGCUAUUGGUCGUUAUAUAUAAUUUAUAACUUAUAAGCAUAUUAAAUUGAAUAAGAAUGCAUGCAUAGUUAGGAGAAAAGCUUAGUUGGCACGUCUGACAUACAUGAUACAUACAUGUUAUUAUAUAUAUGAUUUAAUCUAAAUAAAGUGCCAAUUAAUACCAAUUCUCUGGCUUUUCUUACCAUAGGUAAUCUAAUUACUGUUGUAGCUAAUGCUUUGCUGCUUAGUCAUUGUAGUUUUUAAACCUGUAUUUGAUUUGUCAUUCAGUUAUUAUGCUAUUCAUGCUGCUGAACUCUCCUCAGAUGACACAUUAUUUUAUUGUAAUUACGGCUUGCAUUGUGCUUGCUGUUUUUGCAAUGGCUACAAGCCUGAGGAUGUACACAGCUUGCCAGCAUCUUCAAGCUCAGGCCAGGGCUCAUGCAGCAGCAACAACUGGAUUGCGUAGCCAUACCGAAUUAUGGCUUCAUGUGCCACCAUCCAUAGA